rnacentral:rRNA from 1 species
AGGAGCUUGCUCUUGGGGAUUAGUGGCGAACGGGUGAGUAACACGUGAGUAACCUGCCCUUGACUCUGGGAUAACCUCCGGAAACGGAAGCUAAUACCGGAUACGAACUGCGAAGGCAUCUUCAGCAGUUGGAAAGAACUUCGGUCAAGGAUGGACUCGCGGCCUAUCAGGUAGUUGGUGAGGUAAAGGCUCACCAAGCCUACGACGGGUAGCCGGCCUGAGAGGGUGACCGGCCACACUGGGACUGAGACACGGCCCAGACUCCUACGGGAGGCAGCAGUGGGGAAUAUUGCACAAUGGGCGCAAGCCUGAUGCAGCAACGCCGCGUGAGGGAUGACGGCCUUCGGGUUGUAAACCUCUUUUAGUAGGGAAGAAGCGAAAGUGACGGUACCUGCAGAAAAAGCACCGGCUAACUACGUGCCAGCAGCCGCGGUAAUACGUAGGGUGCGAGCGUUGUCCGGAAUUAUUGGGCGUAAAGAGCUCGUAGGCGGUCUGUCGCGUCUGCUGUGAAAACCCGAGGCUCAACCUCGGGCCUGCAGUGGGUACGGGCAGACUAGAGUGCGGUAGGGGAGAAUGGAAUUCCUGGUGUAGCGGUGGAAUGCGCAGAUAUCAGGAGGAACACCGAUGGCGAAGGCAGUUCUCUGGGCCGUAACUGACGCUGAGGAGCGAAAGCGUGGGGAGCGAACAGGAUUAGAUACCCUGGUAGUCCACGCCGUAAACGUUGGGCGCUAGAUGUGGGGACCAUUCCA